rnacentral:rRNA from 1 species
GACGAACGCUGGACGGCGUGCUUAACACAUGCAAGUCGAGCGGUAAGGCCCUUUCGGGGGUACACGAGCGGCGAACGGGUGAGUAACACGUGGGUGACCUGCCCUCAGCUCUGGGAUAAGCCUGGGAAACUGGGUCUAAUACUGGAUAUGACUCCACGGUGCAUGUCGUGGGGUGGAAAGCCUUGUGCGGCUGAGGAUGGGCCCGCGGCCUAUCAGCUUGUUGGUGGGGNGAUGGCCUACCAAGGCGACGACGGGUAGCCGGCCUGAGAGGGCGACCGGCCACACUGGGACUGAGACACGGCCCAGACUCCUACGGGAGGCAGCAGUGGGGAAUCUUGCGCAAUGGGCGAAAGCCUGACGCAGCGACGCCGCGUGAGGGAUGACGGCCUGGUGUAAC